GAUGAACGCUGGCGGCGUGCCUAAUACAUGCAAGUCGAGCGAACAGACGAGGAGCUUGCUCCUCUGACGUUAGCGGCGGACGGGUGAGUAACACGUGGAUAACCUACCUAUAAGACUGGGAUAACUUCGGGAAACCGGAGCUAAUACCGGAUAAUAUAUUGAACCGCAUGGUUCAAUAGUGAAAGACGGUUUUGCUGUCACUUAUAGAUGGAUCCGCGCCGCAUUAGCUAGUUGGUAAGGUAACGGCUUACCAAGGCAACGAUGCGUACCCGACCUGCGAGGAUGAUCGGCCACACUGGAACUGAGACACGGUCCAGACUCCUACGGGAGGCAGCAGUAUGGAAUCUUCCGCAAUGGGCGAAAGCCUGACGGAGCAACGCCGCGUGAGUGAUGAAGGUCUUCGGAUCGUAAAACUCUGUUAUUAGGGAAGAACAAAUGUGUAAGUAACUAUGCACGUCUUGACGGUACCUAAUCAGAAAGCCACGGCUAACUACGUG
rnacentral:rRNA from 1 species